rnacentral:rRNA from 1 species
GACGAACGCUGGCGGCGUGCCUAACACAUGCAAGUCGAGCGAAGUGAGUACUACGGUACGAACUUAGCGGCGGACGGGUGAGUAACGCGUGGACAAUCUACCCUGUAGACUGGGAUAACACCUCGAAAGGGGUGCUAAUACCGGAUAAUGUCGAGAAGCGGCAUCGCUUUUCGAAGAAAGGAGAGAAUCCGCUAUAGGAGGAGUCCGCGUCCCAUUAGCUAGUUGGUGAGGGUAACGGCCCACCAAGGCGACGAUGGGUAGCCGGCCUGAGGGGUUGAACGGCCACACUGGAACUGAGACACGGUCCAGGCUCCUAGGGGAGGCAGCAGUGGGGAAUAGCGGGCAAUGGGGGAAACCCUAACACAGCAACGCCGCGUGAACGAAGAAGGCCUUCGGGUUGUAAAGCUCAAUAGUAUGGGAAGAUAAUGACGGUACCAUACGAAAGCCCCGGCUAACUACGUGCCAGCAGCCGCCGUAACAC